rnacentral:lncRNA from 1 species
AAAAAGUUUACUUUUUUGAGCGGCCAUUUGUUUCUAUGGACACGAGCAGCAUCUAGGGACCUGUAACUGUCCAAAGAUUAACCCCACAACUGAAGUGCUGGUGUUAAUACAAUCACUGCAACUUCGGGUGCUGCCCUCCUGAAGCAGCACGCCUAGAGGAGACCUGCUAACAUCCCCAACAUGGGACACCUGCAGUGACGGAGCCAGGUAGCAGCAAGGUGCAGGGAACCUCGGGGGCCAUUGCUGGGGCAAGAUGCAGAGAAUCCGGUUAGCCAUAGAAAAGACGCAUUAAGUCCUGCAGCCGAGGGAGACUUCACUUCACUUCACUUCACUUCAGGCUCUUGGACUCGGAGAGGGGAUUUUUCAGAAGGGCUCACGCCACCCACCGGAGGGGGAGGCGCAGGUUUUCCGGGGGACUCCCCUCCCCUUUCGGUACCCAACUAUGGGGCCAGAUUCUGAAAAUCUGAAGGCGAAACUCAGUGUGCCUGGCCAUUCUUGGGCACUGAAGGUACCGUGGCACUGUUUGUGGGCCAUCUACUUUGCAGUGAUCGGACUCUUCAGCUGCUGUUCUCAAAUCCUUUUGCUGAGGUAGGUUGCUAUCACUGUGUCCAUUUACAGCAAGUUGCUGAAGGUUGUGUGGCAAGUCAGUGGCACAGCUCUGAAGAGAGCUGUGUCCUCUUCAGGUCUACGCCCAACCAGCAAGAGUCAGGAUGCUAACUUUAAUGUCCUGGCCAAACUCCACUUGGAUAACUAAAUUCUACCUCCUAAAAUGUCUGUGCUUGUAUUUGGGUGCAGUAUCCCUCACUUGCUGUCUUAAAUUACUGUGGUACAUUACUGUCUAACAUUAAAUAGCUGCUACGUAACUCCUUAGAAGUGGCUGCAUUUCAAGACUCAGUGACUUGAUAGCUGUUUAUACACUGUGUAAAUUACUUUGGGAUCCUUUGUGCAUAAAGAUGAUGAAUGUGGUUAUUAUAGGUAGUCUAUUGCUUUAAUUUAGUGGUGUGCAAUUAAGUUCCGGCAGCUAUUAAAUGAUUGGCAGUGGCCCACUGACAUUAUGGGUGGAUAACAUGACACAAAAGUUAAACCCAAUCCCCUGUGGAUAGCUGUGAUUUUUCAGUAUGCCAACAAUCCCAUGUUCAGAUAAUGAAGACAUCCGCUAUUCUGGAAAGAAAGAGGUUAAUAGGGAAAAAAUAGUGAUGUAUACAGAGCCGAAAACUUUAACGUAUUGAAUGCAUUACUCAGGGGUAACCAGCCCAGUGUUCUGAUUCUCUCUCACUCUUAAUUCAUUUCUCUCAUAACAUGAUUGUUUAACUUACCACCAGUGCUUGAAAGCUUUUGGGUUUUUUUAUGAAGUAUACUGUAAAUUACACCACAUUGCUUGACACUUGAAAGGUCAAAGAUACUUGUAUUUUAUUAGAAUGUGCAUACUAGGGGUAAACCCUUAACUUUUUUUUUUUUGCUUGACUAUAGAGAGAAUUUAUAAUGGCAUGUGUCAGAUUGCUCUGGGCACCAACCAAAUGGAAGAACAUUCUUAAUC